CUCANGACGAACGCUGGCGGCGUGCUUAACACAUGCAAGUCAAGGAGAACAUUUUCUUCGGAAAAUUAUUAAACUGGCGAACGGGUGAGUAACACGUAGGUAACCUGCCUUGAAGAUUGGGAUAACUCCGGGAAACCGGAGCUAAUACCGAAUAAUGCAGCGAAUCCAUAGGGAUAUGUUGUUAAAGCGGGCUUCGGCUCGCACUUCGAGAUGGGCCUGCGGCCGAUUAGCUUGUUGGUGAGGUAAUGGCUCACCAAGGCGAUGAUCGGUAGCUGGUCUGAGAGGAUGAUCAGCCACACUGGGAUUGAGAUACGGCCCAGACUCCUACGGGAGGCAGCAGUGGGGAAUUUUGCGCAAUGGACGAAAGUCUGACGCAGCAACGCCGCGUGAUUGAUGAAGCUUUUAGGAGUGUAAAGAUCUGUCGUGAGGGAAGAAAAACCUGGAUGUAAAUAAUGUUCAGGCGUGACGGUACCUCACAAGAAAGCACCGGCUAACUUCGUGCCAGCAGCCGCGGUAAUACGAGGGGUGCUAGCGUUGUCCGGAAUUACUGGGCGUAAAGGGUCCGUAGGCGUCUUGACAAGUUGAUCGUUAAAUCCACCGGCUUAACCGGUGAUCUGCGGUCAAAACUUGCAGGAUAGAAUAUGUGAGAGGAAAGUAGAAUUCCUGGUGUAGCGGUGACAUGCGUAGAUAUCAGGAGGAACACCAAUGGCGAAGGCAGCUUUCUGGCACAAUAUUGACGCUGAGGGACGAAAGCGUGGGGAGCGAACAGGAUUAGAUACCCUGGUAGUCCACGCCGUAAACGAUGAGUACUUGGUGGUGGGAGAUUCGACCCUCUCACUAUCGGAGCUAACGCGUUAAGUACUCCGCCUGGGGACUACGGCCGCAAGGCUGAAACU
rnacentral:rRNA from 1 species